UACAGAGGGUGCUAGCGUUGUUCGGAAUUACUGGGCGUAAAGGGCGCGUAGGCGGCUUAAUAAGUCAGAUGUGAAAUCCCGGGGCUUAACUCCGGACGUGCAUUUGAAACUGUUAGGCUAGAGUAUAGUAGAGGUUGGUGGAAUUCCCAGUGUAGAGGUGAAAUUCGUAGAUAUUGGGAGGAACACCGGUGGCGAAGGCGGCCAACUGGGCUAUAACUGACGCUGAGGCGCGAAAGCGUGGGGAUCAAACAGG
rnacentral:rRNA from 1 species